AUUGAACGCUAGCGGGAUGCUUUACACAUGCAAGUCGAACGAGUGGCGGACGGGUGAGUAAUAUAUCGGAACGUGCCCAGUAGCGGGGGAUAACUACUAGAAAGAGUGGCUAUUCCCGCAUACUAUUGGAGCGGCAGAUAUCGGAUUAGCUAGUUGGUGGGGUAAAGGCUCACCAAGGCAACGAUCCGUAGCGGGUUUGAGGAGACGACCAGCCACCGUGGGACUGGGACGCGGCCCAGACUCCGACGGGAGGCAGCAGUGGAGAAUUUUGGACAAUGGGGGAAACCCUGAUCCAGCCAUCCCGCGUGUAUGAGAAGGCCUUCGGGUUGUAAAGUACUUUUGGCAGAGAAGCGGUAUCUGCAGAAUAAGCACCGGCUAACUACGUGCCAGCAGCCGCGGUAAUUC
rnacentral:rRNA from 1 species